rnacentral:rRNA from 1 species
UACGUAGGGUGCAAGCGUUAAUCGGAAUUACUGGGCGUAAAGCGUGCGCAGGCGGCUAUGCAAGACAGAUGUGAAAUCCCCGGGCUCAACCUGGGAACUGCAUUGGUGACUGCAUUGCUGGAGUAUGGCAGAGGGGGGUGGAAUUCCACGUGUAGCAGUGAAAUGCGUAGAGAUGUGGAGGAACACCGAUGGCGAAGGCAGCCCCCUGGGCCAAUACUGACGCUCAUGCACGAAAGCGUGGGGAGCAAACAGG